rnacentral:lncRNA from 1 species
UCCCAUUUUCAGACCUUCCUCGAGGACAAAAGAAAAUGUCAGGCUACCCACACCCUCCUUCCGGCUACGGCUACGGCAGCGCUCCACCACCAGGCCAACCUUACGGCGCGCCGCCUCAAGGCCAGCCCUACGGUGCGCCGCCCCAAGGUCAACCCUACGGCGCAACGCCGCAAGGGCAGCACCAGACAGCCCAACCCUACAGUGCUCCGUCUGCACCGUACGGCGCUCCAUCCUCCGCACCGUACGGUGCUCCGGCAGCACCGUACGGCGCGCCUUACGCGCCAGAGAAGCCUUACAAUCCAGACAAGCCUCACAAGAAUCAAGGCGGAGGAGGCGGAGGCGGAGGCGGAUACCCGAAUCAAGGUGGAGGAGGCGGAGGCGGAGGCGGAUACCCGAAUCAAGGUGGAGG